rnacentral:tRNA from 2 species
UAAAAGAUAAGCUAAAUUUAAGCUUAUAGGCUCAUACCCUGUGAAUGAGAGUUCCAACCUCUCUCUUUUUA